ensembl:snRNA U6 U6 spliceosomal RNA
AUUCUCACUUUGGUAGCACAAACACUAAAAUUGGAUAAAUACAGAGGUUAGAAUGAUGCCUGCUCAAUGUUGACAUGAAAAUUCAUGAAGCAUUCUGUGUUUUG